CUUGGUCUUCUUCUUUCUUUCUUUACUAUUCUUCGUUUCUUCUUUUUCUUCUUAUACCUGAGAACAGAGAGGGGGACUUGAGAGGAGAGAAACAGAGGCGAGAGAGAGAGAACACAAUCGAGAGAGAGAGAGAGAGAGAGAGAGAGGGCCGAUCGUGGUGGACCCAGACCGAACCGGAGAAGAGAGAAUCGGGGGAGGCUGGUCCUCCAUGGGUCGCCGGAGGACGCGACUUCCGACGGCCUGGAGCGGGACUUCCGGUGGGUGAGCUGGGUCGGCGUCGUCCAGCAGAGCAGAGGCCGAUUUCCGGCGAGCCCGUGAGCACGCAACCUGAGAGACUCGGAGACCCGUGAAUCGUGACCCGUGAACCCAGCCGAACCGUGACCAGAAACACCCAGAAACCCGAUCCUCCAAGAUCGGUGCCCAGAGCCGAAAUCCGGCAACUUUUAUCGGUGAUGUUUCGGUGAAGCUCAAAGAUGUUUUCCGGUGAUCUGAAACAAAUUCCGGCGACUUUUCCGGCGACUGCCAGAACUGGUUUUUUUUUGGCCGUUUCAGCGUGGUUUCCGGUGGAUUUAUGAGAAAUCCCAAUAAGUAAAAGGUCGAUUCUGACGCUAAUGGAAAGUCCAGAUGACAACAGUAAGACGAAGACUUUUUCUUGUAAGGGCGUAGACCUCGCUGAGAGCGAUAGUUCGUGAUGAACCAACCAAACCCUAAUAUUGUAUAGUAUGAUUUGUUCCUUUUGGAGUUCAUGAUUUUGUAUAGAUUUAUAAAUAGAAAGGUUUAAGAGAGUAGAAAUUUUAAAUUUAUUUGUUGUAAUUGCACGCUUCCAUUUUAUGAUUUUAGUACUCAAACUCACGUUUCCCUUAUUUACCAAAACGGGGGCGUGACAGUCACAGUUAAAUAUUUCCUAUUCAAA